rnacentral:rRNA from 1 species
CCUACGUGAGGCCGCAGUGGGGAAUAUUGCGCCAUGGGCGAAAGCCUGACGCAGCGACGCCGCGUGAGGGAUGAAGGUCUUCUGAUCGUAAACCUCUGUCAGCAGGGAAGAACGGUCACUUUGCUAAUCAUCAGUGAAUUGACGGUACCUGCAAAGGAAGCACCGGCUAACUCCGUGCCAGCAGCCGCGGUAAUACGGAGGGUGCGAGCGUUAAUCGGACUUACUGGGCGUAAAGCGCUCGUAGGCGGUAUGUCAAGUCAAGGGUGACAUCCCCGCGCUCAACGUGGGAACUGCCUUUGAAACUGGCAAACUGGAGUGUGUGAGAGGAUAGUGGAAUUGCAGGUGUAGGAGUGAAAUCCGUAGAUAUCGGGAGGAACAUCAGUGGCGAAGGCGACUAUCUGGCACAUAACUGACGCUGAGGAGCGAAAGCGUGGGUAGCAAACAGGAUUAGAUACCCUUGUAGUC